GAUGAAGAACGUAGCGAAAUGCGAUACUUGGUGUGAAUUGCAGAAUCCCGUGAACCAUCGAGUCUUUGAACGCAAGUUGCGCCCGAAGCCAUUAGGCCGAGGGCACGCCUGCCUGGGCGUCACACGUCGUUGCCCCCCCAUCUACUCCUUCGGGAUUGCGGGGGGCGGAUGAUGGCCUCCCGUGCGCCUCGUCGCGCGGUUGGCAUAAAUGCCAAGUCCUCGGCGACGCACGCCACGACAAUCGGUGGUUGCGAAACCUCGGUUGCCCGUCGUGUGCGGUCGUCGUGCAUCGAGGGCUCGAAAAAAUUGCCGGGCUCCGGCUCGGCUUUCAACGCGACCCCAGGUCAGGCGGGGUUACCCGCUGAAUUUAAGCAUAUCAAUAAGCGGAGGA
rnacentral:misc_RNA from 1 species